GGUCUGCUAGCUCAGUUGGUUAGAGCGUCGUACUAAUACUCCAACGGUGAAUUCUUCAACGAUGGAUUCUCUCAAGCCAUGGAUUAUCGGUGAUGCGAAGGUCAUGAGUUCGACCCUCAUGUGGACCA